UUAAAUUGAAGAGUUUGAUCAUGGCUCAGAUUGAACGCUGGCGGCAGGCCUAACACAUGCAAGUCGAGCGGAAACGGCAGUAU
rnacentral:rRNA from 3 species